GGGCUGGCAGCGCAGAGCAGGGGCGAGGUGGAGGUUGCCCAGAGCAUGAAAGAUAAGCCGCAGGUCGAGCAGAGACGGCGAGUCCUGGGCGGCUUGUGAGAAGGCGCUGGCCCUGGGGCUCUGCGAGCGGCGCCGGGGAGCGCCCCCCCCUGGCCGGGCCAAGCUGUCCCGAGAGCGCCUCGGCUUCCCUCCCUCCUUCCCUUCUUCCCUCCCUCCUCCCGCCCCUUAGCGCCAGCCCUCGGCUCCGCCUGCGCCGCGCCGCUCGGCUCCGCUGCAGCCCCUCCGGCUGCCCGCCCUAACGAUCUGUAACGGCCGAGGGCCCAGGGAACCAGUCCGCUGGCGCGCGCUGCCCGAGAGCUCGUGCGGAGGCCGGGCUCCCGAGGCCCGCGCGCCGCCGCCGCCGCCGCCGCCGCCGCCGAGAUCCAGAUUCUUCAGUCAGCAGUGGAUCUUCUAAUUACGAAAGAAGAAAAGGAGAAAAUUAUUCUGAAGAUUUAAGGUUGAUUAACUGGCUGCCAGAACUAAACCUCGAGGUCAGAAGACUUGUGGGUAACAACUGGAUUCCAGAACUCUGUCAGAGAGAGAUGAGUCCUUAA
rnacentral:lncRNA from 1 species